rnacentral:rRNA from 1 species
UACGGAGGAUGCGAGCGUUAUCCGGAUUUAUUGGGCGUAAAGGGUGCGCAGGCGGCACGGCAAGCCGGCGGUCAAAUCGCGGGGCUCAACCCCGCCCAGCCGUCGGAACUGCCGGGCUAGAGUGGGCGAGAAGUGCGCGGAAUGCGUGGUGUAGCGGUGAAAUGCAUAGAUAUCACGCAGAACUCCGAUUGCGAAGGCAGCGCACCGGCGCCCUACUGACGCUCAGGCACGAAAGCGUGGGUAUCGAACAGG